ACCUGCCUGCUGCAGUUUACCAUCGCAACAGUAGAAGUCUGCGAAUAAUAAGAAGAGUGCCCUAAGCCAUCCCGAUCAGGGCCAAAUUUGAUCUUUUGUCUGCUAGAUUUUUUAUAAAACCACUACACUUACAACACAAACAAGAAGCCAAGAACCAUCAUCAUCAUCGAUCACGGCUUCCCAGCAGCCGAUCGAUGCCGAUUGCGCGCUUACUCUCGCGAGUGCGUGAUCUCCCAGCUAACCGUACGCACAUAAGGCACGUAUGCACUAGAUAUUGGGCAAUUUCAAAACCGAAGGCCGAUCGUUGAAUGAUUACCCUAGCACAAAACACAACAUGCACACCCACCGAUUAUGUUUAUGCUCAUCAUCACAUCAACAUACCGGACCGACAUCAACCAUGCCAGCAUCAAACUAAUUUCCCGUUGGGGAAAUCAAGUCGAGCAGCCACCCUGGCGACGCCCCGGUACUCACUCUCCAAUCUCUUAUCGGCCGACGCCAACUAGAGCCGUGAGUGAUAAAGCGAGGCGCGAUCGGUCAGGCAAUAUAGCCGAUCGUCGCCCGCGGAUCGUCAUCAGUCACUGGUUUAUCGUAAAGGAGACCGCGUCGAUCGUCAACCCGUCAACUUUUCCGCCGGACGAUCGACCUCAGGAAGAAGUUUUGUUCGAGGAAUCUCUGUGGUGAAAACCGUCUCACCAGUGUAAUUUUUGCGGAUUUUGUGGUGUUAGCAUAAUUGUAAUUUUGAUUGUUUCGCCUAGGAGGAAGAACAAGGCGUGGAAUAAUAACCGCACUGGAGUGCGAGGUGCCGCGACACCGUAAAUUGGUCGUGGUGGAGAGUGAGGUGGCGUCUACGAUCAGCAUGGAAAGCAUGGCCAUGCUGGAGUAGAUAGGAGUACUUGAGAUCGGCCUUCAUUUCCUGUUUCGCAAGCUAAAUUCCAUCAUGGCUGGAGCCGUGGUGUUGAGCAGUGCGCUGCUGUGCAUUCCUGCCGACUGGACGGCGGGGCAAAUGCACCGGAUGGCCGGCGUUCUCGCCGGUGACCAAGCUGGGUUCUGCCCGGGCAGCAACGUUGUUCCGGAUCGUCGAGGGAUACACGGGGGUCACACACACACACACAGGUUUACACCCGCAACUCUAGUUUUAAGGACGCCAACUAGGUUUAGUUCGCCAAUAUAGAUGUAAGUACGCUAAAAUCCCCUCUUUUAUUUCUGUGUAGGUUGAAUUUAUCCUUGUCUUGGGAGGGCUGGUUGAUUAUCUGGGAUUCUGUUGGAAUUCGACCCAUUUUUAUUGUUUGCUGUGUUCUAUUGCAUCUGUGCAGGAAAUGGUACUCCUGCUAUUCAAUAGUACUCCAUCUUGUCUCAUGCUCGC